CAGUCGCCGCGGUAAUAUGUAGGGUGCAAGCGUUAAUCGGAAUUACUGGGCGUAAAGCGUGCGCAGGCGGUUAUAUAAGUCAGAUGUGAAAUCCCCGGGCUCAACCUGGGAACUGCAUUUGAGACUGUAUGGCUAGAGUGUGUCAGAGGGGGGUAGAAUUCCACGUGUAGCAGUGAAAUGCGUAGAUAUGUGGAGGAAUACCGAUGGCGAAGGCAGCCCCCUGGGCCAAUACUGACGCUCAUGCACGAAAGCGUGGGGAGCAAACAGGAUUAGAUACCCGAGUAGUCCCUGUCUCUUAUAC
rnacentral:rRNA from 1 species